UUCUACUUUUUAAAACAUAAGAAAGAAAACUGAUGAGAAUGCCAUAGGCCUGGAUAACAGGAGUGGGACUUGGAGGGCACGGAAAGGUGAAAGACGUUCCAGGUGAGGCGUCUUUUGUGGUCUCUCAGAUUUCCUUUGAUUUGGCUUAAUACACUGCUGAUGUUGACACACUACUCUACAUCUCCUGGAUGCCAUCAAGACCUGCGGACUGACCAACAGCGUGCUUUUUUACCAAGUGUCCACGAGUGAGCUCUUUGGCAAAGUGCAAGAGACCUCCCCCCCCCCAACCCCCCCGAAGGAGACCAUGCCCUUCUACCCCUGCUCCCCAUAUGGUGUAGCCAAGCUUUAUGCCUUUGGAUCAUUGUGAAUUUUAGAGAGGCCUAGAACUUUUUUGCCGUCAAUGGCAUUCUUUUCAACCAGAAGAGCCCAAGACCAGGGGCUAAUUUUGAACUUGGAAAAUUUGUCGAUCGGUGGCUAAGAUUCAUCUCGGACAGCUGGAAUGCUUCAGCCUGGGCAAUCUCGAUGCCAAGAGAUACUGGGGUCAUGCCAAGGACUACGUUGAGAAUGCUUCCUCUUAUAAAACACCCAGGAGUGGGAGAUCAGCCUCCAUGAAGAUGGACCCUCUGAGAUUGAAUUACAGUCUCUCUGCGCUUUUAUCAAAUCUGAUUUUAUUAAGUUUCACUGAUCCUGCAUGUUCACUGCAAGGACAUUUCAUCACUUGAUGACCUUCGACACCGCGCACUGGCACAUGAAUAUUUAAAUCUUGAGAGAAGCCAGAUGGGCAGUAGAAAGUGCAUUUCAUAAUUUUGAAUUAAGUACUUGUUUUUUAAGAGACAAUGGCAUUGAGCAAACCCUCCACGAGUAGGCAACGAAAAAUAUGAGGCGUUAAGCCAGAAUGGGAGGAAGUUUGCUUUCACUGAAAACAGUGGUAACCCUCUGUGUCUCACCUGCAGCAAAUCACUUUUAUCUGAAUAUCCUCCUGGAUAAGACUUGAGGAGAAAGAAGCUGGCCUCUUUAAAAGCAUGUCUCAGCUGUCAGCAGAUGCUCCUUUCAGUGUUCAGUAAAGGAGCUGACGACUCAAACGAGUUUUGUAUAGCACGGAAUAUUGCUCUUGCCAAACGUCCUUAUUCAGACUAAUAAAUCUUUUUUAUAAAAUUGGAGUGUUGGCUCCAGACUAGAGAAUGAAUGUUUAAAUGUUAUAUUGCUGUCUGAAAUUU